UGGAUCCAGACUUUGAUCAUGGCUCAGGAUAAACGCUGGCGGCGCACAUAAGACAUGCAAGUCGAACGGACUUAACUCAUUCUUUUAGAUUGAGAGCGGUUAGUGGCGGACUGGUGAGUAACACGUAAGCAACCUGCCUAUCAGAGGGGAAUAACAGUGAGAAAUCAUUGCUAAUACCGCAUAAGCUAGUAAUAUCACAUGAUAUAGCUAGAAAAGGAGCAAUCCGCUGAUAGAUGGGCUUGCGUCUGAUUAGCUAGUUGGUGGGGUAACGGCCUACCAAGGCGACGAUCAGUAGCCGAACUGAGAGGUUGAACGGCCACAUUGGGACUGAGAUACGGCCCAGACUCCUACGGGAGGCAGCAGUCGGGAAUAUUGCGCAAUGGAGGAAACUCUGACGCAGUGACGCCGCGUAUAGGAAGAAGGUUUUCGGAUUGUAAACUAUUGUCGUGAGGGAAGAAAUUGACAGUACCUCAGGAGGAAGCUCCGGCUAACUAUGUGCCAGCAGCCGCGGUAAUACAUAGGGAGCAAGCGUUAUCCGGAAUUAUUGGGUGUAAAGGGUGCGUAGACGGGAAAUUAAGUUAGUUGUGAAAUCCCUUGGCUUAACUGAGGAACUGCAACUAAAACUGGUUUUCUUGAGUAUUGGAGAGGAAAGUGGAAUUCCUAGUGUAGCGGUGAAAUGCGUAGAUAUUAGGAGGAACACCAGUGGCGAAGGCGACUUUCUGGACAAUAACUGACGUUGAGGCACGAAAGUGUGGGGAGCAAACAGGAUUAGAUACCCUGGUAGUCCACACUGUAAACGAUGGAUACUAGGUGUAGGGUGUAUUAAGCACUCUGUGCCGCCGCAAACGCAUUAAGUAUCCCACCUGGGGAGUACGACCGCAAGGUUGCAACUCAAAUGAAUUGACGGA
rnacentral:rRNA from 1 species